GAUGACGUCAGUGGCCGGGAUGCCACAUCC
rnacentral:sRNA from 1 species